CUUUGCGAGAAUCCCUUUCGACAGUUGCCUCUGCUCGGUUUUGAACUUUUGCAGAGUAGAGAAGAUGAGACAGGUUGGUUGGUUCUCCUAAUCUGCAGCAGCGCGCGUCUCUUAUUCUAUGGCGCACGAUGGACACAUGUGGCCUGCAAGUCUACAUGUAACAUACUACCCGCCCCCCCCCUACAAACAUGCCUCUAUCAGCGGAAGGGGGGAUUUUCAGUGGGUGGGUGCAGAGACAAAACUGCCGCAUGCUUGCUUCCUCCCUCGCAGGCCGGAUCCAAG
rnacentral:lncRNA from 7 species